rnacentral:pre_miRNA from 1 species
UUUUAUGAAUGAGCAAUUAUAGUGGUUUCUUGUGAUGGAAUCUACUCUUGGUGAACAUGCUGAAAC